GAUGAAGAACGCAGCGAAAUGCGAUAAGUAAUGUGAAUUGCAGAUUUCAGUGAAUCAUCGAAUCUUUGAACGCACCUUGCGCCUUGUGGUAUUCCACAAGGCAUGCCCGUUUGAGUAUCAUUAAAUCAUCAACUCUAAAACCAUUGUGGUUUUUUUAGAGCUUGGUCUUGAGGGUUUUGCAGGCUUUUUUUUUUUCGAGUCUGCUCCCUUUAAAUGCAUUAGCGAGACUUCCCUAUGCUGAACCGUCUCUUUGACGUGAUAAUUAUCUGCGUCGAAUUUUGGUUCUCGUUGGGCUUGCUUCUAAUCGUCUGUUAAAGACAAAACGGAUUUGGGUGCAUAUAUGCGCCUUUUUCCAAAACCUUUUUUGAUCUCAAAUCGGGUAGGACUACCCGCUGAACUUAAGCAUAUCAAUAAGCGGAGGA
rnacentral:misc_RNA from 1 species